rnacentral:tRNA from 1 species
GCUGAUGUAGCUCAGUUGGUAGAGCAGCUGACUUGUAAUCAGCUGGUCGGGGGUUCGACUCCUCUCAUCAGCUCCA